GACGAACUGUCCAAACGUUAUUCGGAAUCACUGGGCUUAAAGGGUGCGUAGGCGGACUUGCAAGUGGGAUCUGAAAUCCCCCGGCUCAACCGGGGAACUGGGUCUCAAACUGCGAGACUUGAGUGAGGCAGGGGUAAGUGGAACUUGCGGUGGAGCGGUGAAAUGCUUUGAUAUCGCAAGGAACACCGGUGGCGAAGGCGACUUACUGGGCCUUAACUGACGCUGAGGCACGAAAGCCAGGGUAGCAAACGGGAUUAGAUACC
rnacentral:rRNA from 1 species